AGUGAACGCUGGCGGUAGGCCUAACACAUGCAAGUCGAACGGCAGCACAGUAGGAGCUUGCUCUUACGGGUGGCGAGUGGCGGACGGGUGAGGAAUACAUCGGAAUCUACUUUUUCGUGGGGGAUAACGUAGGGAAACUUACGCUAAUACCGCAUACGACCUACGGGUGAAAGCAGGGGAUCUUCGGACCUUGCGCGAUUGAAUGAGCCGAUGUCGGAUUAGCUAGUUGGCGGGGUAAAGGCCCACCAAGGCGACGAUCCGUAGCUGGUCUGAGAGGAUGAUCAGCCACACUGGAACUGAGACACGGUCCAGACUCCUACGGGAGGCAGCAGUGGGGAAUAUUGGGCAAUGGGCGCAAGCCUGAUCCAGCCAUACCGCGUGGGUGAAGAAGGCCUUCGGGUUGUAAAGCCCUUUUGUUGGGAAAGAAAAGCAGCAGGUUAAUACCCCGCUGUUCUGACGGUACCCAAAGAAUAAGCACCGGCUAACUUCGUG
rnacentral:rRNA from 1 species